rnacentral:rRNA from 1 species
GGAGGAUCCGAGCGUUAUCCGGAUUUAUUGGGUUUAAAGGGAGCGUAGAUGGAUGUUUAAGUCAGUUGUGAAAGUUUGCGGCUCAACCGUAAAAUUGCAGUUGAUACUGGAUGUCUUGAGUGCAGUUGAGGCAGGCGGAAUUCGUGGUGUAGCGGUGAAAUGCUUAGAUAUCACGAAGAACUCCGAUUGCGAAGGCAGCCUGCUAAGCUGCAACUGACAUUGAGGCUCGAAAGUGUGGGUAUCAAACAGGAUUAGAUACCCUGGUAGUCCACACGGUAAACGAUGAAUACUCGCUGUUUGCGAUAUACGGCAAGCGGCCAAGCGAAAGCGUUAAGUAUUCCACCUGGGGAGU